CCUGUCUCAGUUCGGAUUGGAGUCUGNAACCCGACUCCAUGAAGCUGGAUUCGCUAGUAAUCGCGCAUCAGCCACGGCGCGGUGAAUACGUUCCCGGGCCUUGUACACACCGCCCGUCAAGCCAUGGAAGCCGGGGGUGCCUGAAGUGCGCUGCCGCAAGGAGCGCCCUAGGGUAAAACCGGUGACUGGGGCUAAGUCGUAACAAGGUAGC
rnacentral:rRNA from 1 species